rnacentral:rRNA from 1 species
UACGUAGGGCGCAAGCGUUGUCCGGAAUUAUUGGGCGUAAAGAGCUCGUAGGCGGUUUGUCGCGUCUGUCGUGAAAGCUUGGGGCUUAACCCCAAGUCUGCGGUGGAUACGGGCAGACUAGAGGCAGGUAGGGGAGAACGGAAUUCCCGGUGUAGCGGUGAAAUGCGCAGAUAUCGGGAGGAACACCGGUGGGGAAGGCGGUUCUCUGGGCCUGUACUGACGCUGAGGAGCGAAAGCGUGGGGAGCGAACAGG